rnacentral:rRNA from 1 species
GGACCCGCACAAGCGGUGGAGCAUGUGGUUUAAUUCGAUGCAACGCGAAAAACCUUACCUACUCUUGACAUACUUGGAAGCUCUUGUAAUGAGAGUGUGCCUUUUGGAACCAAGAUACAGGUGCUGCAUGGCUGUCGUCAGCUCGUGUCGUGAGAUGUUCCGUUAAGUCGGAUAACGAGCGCAACCCUUACCCUUAUUUGCCAGCGAUUCGGUCGGGAACUAUAAGGGGACUGCCGGUGAUAAACCGGAGGAAGGUGAGGACGACGUCAAGUCAUCAUGGCCCUUACGAGUAGGGCUACACACGUGCUACAAUGGGGAAUACAGACGGACGCUAAGCCGCGAGGUGGUGCUAAUCCCUUAAAGCUCGUCGUAGUCCGGAUCGGAGUCUGCAACUCGACUCCGUGAAGUCGGAAUCGCUAGUAAUCGCGAAUC